UGGAGCAUGUGGUUUAAUUCGAAGCAACGCGAAGAACCUUACCAGGCCUUGACAUGCAGAGAACUUUCCAGAGAUGGAUUGGUGCCUUCGGGAACUCUGACACAGGUGCUGCAUGGCUGUCGUCAGCUCGUGUCGUGAGAUGUUGGGUUAAGUCCCGUAACGAGCGCAACCUUACCUUUAGUUGCCAUCAGGUAAUGCUGGGGACUCUAAAGGAACUGCCUACGCAAGUAGUGAGGAAGGCGGGGAUGACGUCAAAUCAGCACGGCCCUUACGUCCAGGGCUACACACGUGCUACAAUGGCCGAUACAGAGGGCAGCUACCUGGUGACAGGAUGCAAAUCUCCAAAGUCGGUCUCAGUUCGGAUCGGAGUCUGCAACCCGACUCCAUGAAGUUGGAAUCGCUAGUAAUCGCGCAUCAGCAUGGCGCGGUGAAUACGUUCCCGGGCCUU
rnacentral:rRNA from 1 species